rnacentral:rRNA from 1 species
AUUGAACGCUGGCGGCAUGCUUUACACAUGCAAGUCGAACGGCAGCAUGGGCUUCGGCCUGAUGGCGAGUGGCGAACGGGUGAGUAAUAUAUCGGAACGUACCCAAGAGUGGGGGAUAACGUAGCGAAAGUUACGCUAAUACCGCAUACGAUCCAAGGAUGAAAGUGGGGGACCUUCGGGCCUCAUGCUCCUGGAGCGGCCGAUAUCUGAUUAGCUAGUUGGUAGGGUAAAGGCCUACCAAGGCAUCGAUCAGUAGCUGGUCUGAGAGGACGACCAGCCACACUGGAACUGAGACACGGUCCAGACUCCUACGGGAGGCAGCAGUGGGGAAUUUUGGACAAUGGGGGCAACCCUGAUCCAGCAAUGCCGCGUGAGUGAAGAAGGCCUUCGGGUUGUAAAGCUCUUUUGUCAGGGAAGAAACGGUUGUGGCUAAUAUCCAUGGCUAAUGACGGUACCUGAAGAAUAAGCACCGGCUAACUACGUGCCAGCAGCCGCCGCAGUAA